rnacentral:rRNA from 1 species
CAGAAUGAACGUUGGCGGCGUGGAUUAGGCAUGCAAGUCGCACGAGAAACUAAUUAGCUUGCUAUGAAGUGGACAGUGGCGAAAGGGAGAGUAACGCGUGGUUACAUGCCCUCGAGACCAGGAUAGUGUUGGGAAACUGGCAGUAAUACUGGAUAACAUCUUCGGAUCAAAUGGUGUGAUUCCGCUCGAGGAUUGGACCGCGUACUAUUAGCUUGUUGGUGAGGUAAUGGCUCACCAAGGCAUCGAUGGUUACCGGGUGUGAGAGCAUGGCCCGGCUCACUGGGACUGAGACACUGCCCAGACAUCUACGGAUGGCUGCAGUCGAGAAUCUUCGGCAAUGGACGAAAGUCUGACCGAGCGACGCCGCGUGCGGGAUGAAGGCCCUCGGGUUGUAAACCGCUGUCAGUUAGGAGGAAAUGCAUAAGGGUUCUCUCUUAUGUUUGACCGAUUUUCAGAGGAAGGACGGGCUAAGUUCGUGCCAGCAGCCGCGGUAAGACGAACCGUCCAAACGUUAUUCGGUAUCACUGGGCUUAAAGCGUGCGUAGGCGGCUUGGUAGGUGAGAUGUGAAAGCCCACGGCUCAACCGUGGAACAGCGUCUCAAACCCCCAAGCUCGAGGAAGAUAGGGGUGAUGGGAACUUAUGGUGGAGCGGUGAAAUGCGUUGAUAUCAUAGGGAACACCGGUGGCGAAAGCGCAUCACUGGGUCUUUUCUGACGCUGAGGCACGAAAGCUAGGGUAGCGAACGGGAUUAGAUACCCCGGUAGUCCUAGCCGUAAACGAUGAGCACUGGGUUGAGGGGGUCACAUCCUCUCGGCCGUAGCGAAAGCGUUAAGUG